rnacentral:rRNA from 1 species
UACGAAGGGGGCUAGCGUUGCUCGGAAUGACUGGGACGGUAAAGGGCGCGUAGGCGGAUCGGACAGUCAAGACUGGUGAAAUUCCGUGGGCUUUAACCUGGGGGCUGCAUUUGAUACGUGUGGUCUAGAGUGAGGAAGAGGGUCGUGGAAUUCCCAGUGUAGAGGUGAAAUUCGUAGAUAGUUGGGAAGAACACCGGUGGCGAAGGCGGCGACCUGGUCCUUGACUGACGCUGAGGCGCGAAAGCGUGGGGAGCAAACAGG